rnacentral:miRNA from 1 species
UUCAAAUGUUCGGAUGCGUGC